GCAGCAUGGGGAACUUAACAUGGGCUGAUCGGCCGGCUUCGGUCCAAUGCUGCCAAAGGAAAUGCACCUUUAGUUUCCAGCCCGUUCUCGGAGUACGAGUCACUGAAACAGUUCGAUAACAAGUUGACUGGCCAGAUGAAAGAUGUGCUUGUGGAAGAGCUUGCCAACAAAGGUGGAAUCAAUGCUGCUGCGUGCACAAAAAGAAUUCUUUGCUACCUGCUCUGUGACAAUCUUGCAGCGGAAUUCUCAUGGCUUGGAAAAAAAGGAAAGCGUAGAUUCAGCGAGCUCCGUCUUGCCUCUUGCAUAAUAAGUGCUGUGCAAAAGGUUCACGCUGCAAAUGAAUUUGCCAUAGAGGCAGCCAUUCGAGAAUGGCUGCGUCAUGCCCCAGCAAGGCACAGGAAUGCAGCAAGAGGUAAUAAACCUGCUAUGCAUUUUGCAGUAAGCUUAAAGGAACUGACAGCUAAUUUCUGCAGUGCCCAGUUUUUUUCUGUUGCAAUCGAAGCUCAUUGGUCACAGUAUCCAGUCAGUGUGAUGUAAAUGGAAAGCAC